UUAAAUUAAGAAAAGUGGUUGAGGUUUGUAUACCGACCGGGUAAGGCAAUGAAGCCAUCAGAUUGUCUAGCCAUCUCAGCUUUUCUUUGGUGCAUGUCUGCUACUGCCUUAACUUCCCCUACUGUUUCUCCAGUGAUCUGCAAAUGUUUGAUCAAAGACAAUACAAAGCAAAAAAAAAUAAAAAGAACAAGCUUCU